rnacentral:rRNA from 1 species
GACCUGAGCUCAGGCAAGAUUACCCGCUGAACUUAAGCAUAUCAAUAAGCGGAGGAAAAGAAACUAACAAGGAUUCCCCUAGUAACGGCGAGCGAACCGGGAAGAGCCCAGCUUGAAAAUCUCCCUUUGGAGAAUUGUAGUCUAUAGAAGUACUGCCUGCGGCGUGCGCGGCCCAAGUCCCCUGGAAAGGGGCGUCAGAGAGGGUGAGAACCCCGUCGGUCGCGUUUCUGCCGCCUCACGGCGUGCUUUCGCAGAGUCGGGUUGCUUGGGAAUGCAGCCCUAAUUUGGUGGUAAAUCCCAUCUAAGGCUAAAUAUUGGCGAGAGACCGAUAGCGAACAAGUACCGUGAGGGAAAGAUGAAAAGAACUUUGAAAAGAGAGUUAAAAAGUGCUUGAAAUUGUUGAGAGGGAAGCGAUUGGAGGCUAUGGGUGCGCCCAGGCUUAUGCGUCCCUUCGGGGCCGCUGCAUGUGCUGGGCGCUGGUCAGCAAGGUUUGGGCUAACAGGAUAAAAGUCGGGGUUGUUACUCGGCCUAUACUGUUGGCCCGAUCAAGGCGUGAAGACUGCCCUUGUCCUUCGGGAACUGCAGUCUCAAGUUGCUGGCGAAAGGUUUCCAAUCGGCCCGUCUUGUAACACGGACCAAGGAGUCUAACAUGUAUGCGAGUUGGUGGGUG